GCUCAUGCAUCUGGCAACAUUUACACAUUCAAGAGUAGCUGUACAAUGCCGACAUCUUGCUAUAAACAAGAAUGUCCUUGAAGAAUAAAUGUUAAAUGAACGGAAAUCGCAUGAAUGAUAUGCUUAAAUUAAGAAGAGUCCAGAAGAUUAAGGAAAUCAAGCCAAGGAAAUCUAGCUGAAUAGCUCAAAGCAAAUGUAAUAGCUCAAUCUAUUACAUUUAAUCUCAAUGAAUAUAAAAGUCAUUUAAAUGCCAGAUCAAUCAAGCACUAAUUCGACUUAAUAAUGUUUUUUAAAUAAAAGAUUUAUUGUCAUUUGUGUUUCUUAUACAUUGUCUUGCCUUCUUCCAUUAAAAUAUUUUGUAUGAAAUCAGUCUUUCUUUAAUGUGUCUGAAGUAUCAGUAUGGAAAAUGUUCAAAAUGGCACUUGGUGUGCAUUACCCGAUUUAUGCCCUAUUUUAUUACUCUAAAUUAGAGGUGGAUGUGCUGUAUGUAAGGGGGUAGAGAAAGUUGUUUGUAUGCUAAUAAUUGUUUAGGCAAUUUUUUAUUUUACUUAUUUCGGAAUUAACCUUAGCUUCAGUAAUUAAUAUUAUGGUAGGCAUGGCAUUGUGUAAAUUGGUUCCAUCAUUGAUUUGUUAUAUGUAAUGGAAAUUGUUUCAUUACUGUGACAUUUGUGUUUGAAUACUGUAUAUAUAACAAAAGUUUUGUACAUUUGUUUUUGUGAAUGAAGCAGUUCAAAAGAGAAGUAAAUAAAUAUAUUAUUCUGUAAAAGUUGUGUUGUCUUAUAAUUUGUCAUAUGUGAUGCUAAUACCCGAACUGUGUAUGUAUAUAGAUAUAUAUAUACACACCCACCCUGUACAGCAUGAUUGAAUGUGCUGCAAAUCUGUUGAGCUGUUGUUUAGUUGGUAAUUAUUAUUGUUAUUAUUUGCUUUCAAAAUAUACUAAUUUAAUUGGCUGCAUAUUUUCUCCAUUUGAUAAUUUUUUAGAAUACAUAUGGAGCAUAUUUGGCAUCCAACCUGAAUGUUUACAAAUCUUUUUUUGUUUCAGUUCCUAGCAAAAGUAUUAAAAGAAUGUUUCUGCUGUGAUGUGGAAUCUUGCUAUAUUUUAAAUGUUUGAAAAGGUGAUUACAGAACUCCGAGGUGAUAUUAGAAUAUUUCAAGUCCUUAAAAAUAAUAAGUCAUUCCUGCAGUAUAUUUAAGUGGCUGAAAAAAGUUCUUGUGCGUAUAAUGAAUUUUCUGUGAAACUGGCUGAAUGGCAGAUACACAAGUCACAUAAAAUAAUGAAAUUUGAUGAGAUUCUUAGGUAGGAUCUAGGAACUGGGUUUCUUUUUUAACCAGAAUUUGUCAGGAUUUCUUUUUGAAGACUUAAUAAUACAAAUAAACAAUGCAUAUGUGAAAGAAGCUUGUGGACUAGUCAAGGCAGUUGCAUCUUGUGUUAUUGUAACAUCCAUAUCAAAAUUGUAUCUAAAUUAAAAUUAAAAAAAUAAUAAUUAUUUGCAUCCAAUAGCUUAAUCUCUUGUGUAUGAAAUGGUUUAAUUCACCCUCCUCCCGUAUUGCACAGACACCAUACAUUUAAUAUUCCUUUUCUGAGAUCCGAAACGUAGGGCCCAAGAGCCGAACGAUAUGUCAGCCAACAACGCUAACCAUUUUAUCAAUCAAGGUGGCUUCUUUGAAAAUGUUAUGUUCCAGUUCUUCAGUGAGCAUCAUGUGCCACUGCUGAUCAUCUGGCAUAUACUAAUUAGUGAAUACAAAGCUCAUCCAGACUGUUCUUUGCAUUGUUUCAAUGCUAAGCAGUGUAAAUUUCAUGUGUUUCAAGAAACUGUUGAAAAAUGUCCAGUAUUUUUUCUUAAGUAUGUUUGAACCCCCUUACAAAAAGUUAUGUGCUUUUAAAAAAUCAUAUGUUGAUGACUUUUCCAUGAAAUAGUUCAUCACGAAAACCCAAUGCAUUUUAUGGUGUUCCUUUUAUUACCGAUUGUUCGAUUUUGCUGGUAUUUUUAACCACAAAAAACACGUGGAAAACUUUAUUAACAAUACCUAUGGUAGUAACAAUACCUAUGGGCAAAAUUAUCAUAUUUGCUUAUUAAAGAAAAUAAAAUUUGCCACUUUAAAAUUGUGCAAAAACUGAUAACUGAAGUAUUUUCUUUUUAAAAGGAGUAAUUUUUUUCGUGUAAUAUUUUUUUAUUAUGAACAUGUAAGAACUAAUGAUUUCAUUUUCAGUAAUCAAUUUGGCACUACUUACAGGUAGUUCAAAUUUUUUUUUUUACGAGGGUUGGAACUUUAAUAAUGGCAACUAUUUAUUUACAAGGAAUACAAAAGUGAUUCAUAUCACCAUGUUUUACAGUCCUUCAAUAUAGUCGCUUUAAUAGUGGC
rnacentral:misc_RNA from 1 species